rnacentral:rRNA from 1 species
UACGUAGGUGGCAAGCGUUGUCCGGAUUUACUGGGUGUAAAGGGCGUGUAGCCGGGUUGACAAGUCAGAUGUGAAAUCCUGCGGCUUAACCGCAGAACUGCAUUUGAAACUGUUGAUCUUGAGUACUGGAGAGGCAGACGGAAUUCCUAGUGUAGCGGUGAAAUGCGUAGGUAUUAGGAGGAACACCAGUGGCGAAGGCGGUCUGCUGGACAGCAACUGACGGUGAGGCGCGAAAGCGUGGGGAGCAAACAGG